rnacentral:misc_RNA from 1 species
GAUGAAGAACGCAGCUAAAUGCGAUAAUUAAUGUGAAUUGCAGAAUUCCGUGAAUCAUCGAGUCUUUGAACGCACAUUGCGCCUCAUGGCAUUCCGUGAGGCAUGUCCAUCUCAGCGUUAGAAAAUAUUCUCAAAUUUUAGUUUUGUGCUAAAAUUUGGAUCAUGUCAAGGAAGCUAUUACUAUUAUUGUGAUCGCUCUUUGGAAAUUGAUAGGUCUUUGAGUUGCUACUCAUAGAACGUGAUGAAUCUUUCUUCGUUCUAUUGUAAUUCACUCUGGUAGUCCUAAAACUUGUAUGCCUGUGGCAUAUCUUGUAAUUUGACCUGAGAUUGGGUAGGGAUACCCGCUGAACUUAAGCAUAUCAAUAAGCGGAGGA